rnacentral:lncRNA from 1 species
GAAAACACGAGAAAGAGAAGAGAAAGAGGGAAGAAAUGGGUUUAGGGUUUCAACUUCAACCCUAACCCUGAUUGAUUUUAAUUCCGACCACCAUCCUGUUCUGAUUCCGACCACCAUCCUCUUCUUUCUCUUCGAUUUUGCUCACGAUUCCGACCACCACCUUCACGAUUCCGACCAUCACGAUUCCGACCCCCAUCCUCUUCUGAUUCCGACCACCACCUUCGAGUUUGCGUUUUCAUUUGACG